UACGGGGGGGGCAAGCGUUGUCCGGAAUUAUUGGGCGUAAAGGGCUCGUAGGCGGUUUGUCGCGUCGGGAGUGAAAUCCACUGGCUUAACUGGUGGCUUGCUUUCGAUACGGGCAGACUGGAGGUAUGCAGGGGAGAACGGAAUUCCUGGUGUAGCGGUGAAAUGCGCAGAUAUCAGGAGGAACACCGGUGGCGAAGGCGGAUCUCUGGGCCGUAACUGACGCUGAGGCGCGAAAGCGUGGGUAGCAAACAGG
rnacentral:rRNA from 1 species